UUCUGGUGUUGACCCUGAAGGACCAGAGACCAUAUCCAGGUUACCCUGCAACUCUUGCGAGGUUCGACGUCAGUGCUGCCACAUCAGAGAGCAGGACAGCCACCAUUCCGCAGAGUGACGAGAACAUUGGAACAUGAACAGCACAAACUGACGGAAAAAUAUGGAACGUGGAAUGCGACUUUGAAAUCGUGGAUAUUUAAAACGUGUUUAUUCACUUGCUUAUUUCUAAUAACUUUAACAGCGCGUGUUUAGUGAGCCGAUCUAUUACUGUGUGUUAGUGAGUACGUGAACUAAAGUUCUUUAAGUUGCAGUGAGCGGUUUAAACGACUUCAUGGAACUACGCCCUUUGGUGUAGUGAAGAUUAUGUUAGAAAUUCGCAUCGAAACAUUCCGUUGUGGAUAUAUUUUGGUUAUAAUAUUAAAACAAUUAACAUUUAUGGUUUUGCUGUAGGAAUAUUAACGUAGAAUAUAUGGUGAAAGUGUUAAAAUUGGCGUGAUAUUUUUACGGCCAGAAAACUGCACUGGUUGCGAAUAUUCCCAGAAUUUCUUACUUUUAUUAAUUUUUGUUGUUGUUUAUAACAAGGAGGAAAUUUACUGGGAUCGGUUUGGUUUUCUUCAAGAACUUUUCAGUGAAGUGUUUGUACUGGGCCAAGCUGGACAUAGUCAACGUUUCAGUGUAUACAGCGGUAUCUGCUGUGGAGGCAGGACUUCGAUCCUGUGAUGGACAGCAGGGUCGGCCCGCAAACGAAGAUCUCAUGCAGCUCCCAGGAAGAAUGAAUACAGACGUCGAGGAUCUGAUGUAAAUUCACCGUUUUAGUUGAUUCGAGCUAGAAACAUGGCGGCCAAACAGGCCAGAAACAGGACUCCACCUGUGUGUGCUGACUGUGAACUCGUAAAGGAUCACGAAAGAAUUGAAGAAGGAUGGCGAAGUCAGUCGAUUCUGUCAAAAGAAGAAGAAGAAAAAAAGUCGGUUAUUUCUAACCGUGCGCGCUUCAGUGAGAAUCUCCCAAUUUUCUCCUUCGUAUCAGCCCCGUCCGCCGUCGCUGGAGCCUAUCUCGCAUCCAUUCGUUAACUCCCGCCUCACGGAAUGAGGUUACUCGUAGAUAGUUCCAGCAAACACACCGAGCAGCCAUUUUGUGUAGCUACAGUAAAUGGCUGACGUUAAGGGACAUCCAUCAUGUGCUGACUGUCAUGACGCGGUGGUUAGCACUGCUGCUUCUUAUUCGAGAGGCCUCGAGUUUGAAUCUCGCCCCAGAGACAUGUUGUUUUAGCCGAUUCAAGCAUCUAUCGGCUUGAUAUUUUAAAACAGUGGACGCCUAUACCCACUUACUUACUUACUUACUUACUUACUCACUCCUGGAGGUGAGGCCUUCUGGAA